rnacentral:rRNA from 1 species
GGGGAGGGUCAUUGGAAACUGGGGAACUUGAGUGCAGAAGAGGAGAGUGGAAUUCCACGUGUAGCGGUGAAAUGCGUAGAGAUGUGGAGGAACACCAGUGGCGAAGGCGACUCUCUGGUCUGUAACUGACGCUGAGGAGCGAAAGCGUGGGGAGCGAACAGGAUUAGAUACCCUGGUAGUCCACGCCGUAAACGAUGAGUGCUAAGUGUUAGGGGGUUUCCGCCCCUUAGUGCUGCAGCUAACGCAUUAAGCACUCCGCCUGGGGAGUACGGUCGCAAGACUGAAACUCAAAGGAAUUGACGGGGGCCCGCACAAGCGGUGGAGCAUGUGGUUUAAUUCGAAGCAACGCGAAGAACCUUACCAGGUCUUGACAUCCUCUGACAAUCCUAGAGAUAGGACGUCCCCUUCGGGGGCAGAGUGACAGGUGGUGCAUGGUUGUCGUCAGCUCGUGUCGUGAGAUGUUGGGUUAAGUCCCGCAACGAGCGCAACCCUUGAUCUUAGUUGCCAGCAUUCAGUUGGGCACUCUAAGGUGACUGCCGGUGACAAACCGGAGGAAGGUGGGGAUGACGUCAAAUCAUCAUGCCCCUUAUGACCUGGGCUACACACGUGCUACAAUGGACAGAACAAAGGGCAGCGAAACCGCGAGGUUAAGCCAAUCCCACAAAUCUGUUCUCAGUUCGGAUCGCAGUCUGCAACUCGACUGCGUGAAGCUGGAAUCGCUAGUAAUCGCGGAUCAACCAUGCCCCGGGUGGAAUA